rnacentral:rRNA from 1 species
UGGGGAAUUUUGGACAAUGGACGCAAGUCUGAUCCAGCCAUGCCGCGUGCGGGAAGAAGGCCUUCGGGUUGUAAACCGCUUUUGUCAGGGAAGAAACGAGUUUCUCUAAUACAGAGACUUAAUGACGGUACCUGAAGAAUAAGCACCGGCUAACUACGUGCCAGCAGCCGCGGUAAUACGUAGGGUGCAAGCGUUAAUCGGAAUUACUGGGCGUAAAGCGUGCGCAGGCGGUUAUGCAAGACAGAUGUGAAAUCCCCGGGCUCAACCUGGGACCUGCAUUUGUGACUGCAUAGCUAGAGUACGGCAGGGGGGGAUGGAAUUCCGCGUGUAGCAGUGAAAUGCGUAGAUAUGCGGAGGAACACCGAUGGCGAAGGCAAUCCCCUGGGCCUGUACUGACGCUCAUGCACGAAAGCGUGGGGAGCAAACA